GACGUAGGGGGCGAGCGUUGUCCGGAAUUACUGGGCGUAAAGAGCUCGUAGGCGGUGUGUCGCGUCGGCCGUGAAAACCUGCAGCUUAACUGUGGGCUUGCGGUCGAUACGGGCAGGCUUGAGUUCGGUAGGGGAGACUGGAAUUCCUGGUGUAGCGGUGAAAUGCGCAGAUAUCAGGAGGAACACCGGUGGCGAAGGCGGGUCUCUGGGCCGAUACUGACGCUGAGGAGCGAAAGCGUGGGGAGCGAACAGG
rnacentral:rRNA from 1 species